rnacentral:pre_miRNA from 1 species
AGAGCAAUUGCUAGAUCAUGUAGUAAGAGUAUGUUUAGUUAUGUGAGAAACUGCUGAACUAUCUUCCAAAGUGACUGUACCAUUUUUGCCUUCUUACCAGCAAU